rnacentral:rRNA from 1 species
AUCGCUUUUAGAUGGACCCGCGGCGUAUUAACUAGUUGGUGGGGUAACGGCCUACCAAGGUGAUGAUACGUAGCCGAACUGAGAGGUUGAUCGGCCACAUUGGGACUGAGACACGGCCCAAACUCCUACGGGAGGCAGCAGUAGGGAAUCUUCCACAAUGGACGCAAGUCUGAUGGAGCAACGCCGCGUGAGUGAAGAAGGUCUUCGGAUCGUAAAACUCUGUUGUUAGUAGAAGAACACGAGUGAGAGUAACUGUUCAUUCGAUGACGGUAUCUAACCAGCAAGUCACGGCUAACUACGUGCC